rnacentral:lncRNA from 1 species
AACUAUGUUUAUCCGGACUUUGGAGAGUUUUUCCUUAGCGAUAGUUUAUCGUUGGUUAUAGGUAUGAAUUGAAUAAUUUUAUGUACCCCACCUUUCCCACAAACGACCUAUUUAUUUUUUUUUCAUUUUCAGCCGUCGUAGAAGUAUUCAAUUUCAAACGGGCGAUUUUAUUUUCUUUACGGCUGAUAAAGACCCUCCGGACCAUUAUUAUUAUAGCCUAUUUGGCCGAUUGCCGUUUACCAUGAAAUAUAUGUAUUGCGGUACUUAUCUAUAUAUACAUAAUUUGUGCGGGGAGAAUCGAGA